GGCGGCAUGCUUAACACAUGCAAGUCGAACGAUGAUCCGGUGCUUGCACCGGGGAUUAGUGGCGAACGGGUGAGUAACACGUGAGUAACCUGCCCUUAACUCUGGGAUAAGCCUGGGAAACUGGGUCUAAUACCGGAUAUGACUCCUCAUCGCAUGGUGGGGGGUGGAAAGCUUUUUGUGGUUUUGGAUGGACUCGCGGCCUAUCAGCUUGUUGGUGAGGUAAUGGCUCACCAAGGCGACGACGGGUAGCCGGCCUGAGAGGGUGACCGGCCACACUGGGACUGAGACACGGCCCAGACUCCUACGGGAGGCAGCAGUGGGGAAUAUUGCACAAUGGGCGAAAGCCUGAUGCAGCGACGCCGCGUGAGGGAUGACGGCCUUCGGGUUGUAAACCUCUUUCAGUAGGGAAGAAGCGAAAGUGACGGUACCUGCAGAAGAAGCGCCGGCUAACUACGUGCCAGCAGCCGCGGUAAUACGUAGGGCGCAAGCGUUAUCCGGAAUUAUUGGGCGUAAAGAGCUCGUAGGCGGUUUGUCGCGUCUGCCGUGAAAGUCCGGGGCUCAACUCCGGAUCUGCGGUGGGUACGGGCAGACUAGAGUGAUGUAGGGGAGACUGGAAUUCCUGGUGUAGCGGUGAAAUGCG
rnacentral:rRNA from 1 species